rnacentral:tRNA from 1 species
GGGGUUGUGGCUCAGUGGUAAAGUUCUCACUUAGCAUGUGUGAGACACUGGGUUCGAUCCUCAGCACUACA